rnacentral:rRNA from 1 species
UACAGAGGGUGCAAGCGUUAAUCGGAGUUACUGGGCGUAAAGGGCACGUAGGCGGUCGAAUAAGUCAGUUGUGAAAUCCCCGGGCUUAACCUGGGAACUGCAAAUGAUACUGUUAGACUAGAGUCGAAGAGAGGGAAGUGGAAUUUCCGGUGUAGCGGUGAAAUGCGUAGAUAUCGGAAGGAACAUCAGUGGCGAAGGCGACUUCCUGGCUUCAGACUGACGCUGAGGUGCGAAAGCGUGGGUAGCGAACAGG